GACCUGAAAGAUGGUGAGUUGGACCUGGCAGAGUGAAGCCAGAGGAAACUCAGGUGGAGGUCUGUAGUGGUCCCGAUAUACAAAUCGGUCAUCUGACCUGGGUACAGGUGCAUGAGGGCAAAAGACUAGAGAAACCACCCAGCAGCUGG
rfam:Macaca mulatta chromosome 10, whole genome shotgun sequence.